GGAGCCUCGCAUCACACGGUCAAUGAUGCCACGUCGCUUCAUGCUCUGGCGGACUACACCGGACCGAACGAAAUCAUGCUGGGUGAUGGAUCGGCAAUCGGGAACUCCUCUCGUACAGGGUCCAGUCGUGAGUGACGUUUACAACCUCCCAGUCCAGCGGCCUCAACUUAAUGUUACCACCAAGUGUUCCCUGUUAAGUUGGCAUCAUCAGUUUAGUCAUCCCAACUCUAAAGUGUUAGCCUGUCUUCUUAGAAAUAACAAUAUUAAUUUCAUGCCUGAUAAGCUUAAUGCAUUUUCUUGUAACUCGUGUCAUGUUAAUAAAAGUCACAAACUCCCGUUUUCCUUUAAUUCCAUGACCAGUUCACGCCCGUUGCAGUUACUUUACACGGAUGUGUGGAGUUCCGCAACGGUCUCCGUGGAUGGUUU